CGCGCGGUCGAAUUUGAAGAAGAUAACGACGAUGCCCGCUGGGCACAUGUGAUGUUUUGUUUUAAUUGAAAUACUGACGUUGUGACGUAAAUCCUUUGUUAGAAUACAGCAUACUGGAGUAAUUCAACUAGUGUAAACAAACCAUUCCCGUAAUCGCUAUUAUAUUGAAUUGCAACCUAAUUCAAUCGUUACUAUAUCGAAGAACGGAUUUUAUUAAGGUUAAGUUGGAAAUCUAUUCAAGAUGAGUCAAGAUGCAGACGCAGCGAUUCGUAAUAUGCGGGAUUUUAUGACGAUCUAUAACAAAAUGUCGGAGCAGUGUUUCGCUAAUUGUGUAAAUGAUCUUGGUCAAAGGAAAUUGUCAAAUGAUGAAUGCGUUUGUGUCGAUCGAUGCGUGACUAAGGGCAUACGGUUGAACCAUUUAAUGAUGGAUAUCUACAUGAAAUUGCAACCGGAAAUUAUUCAGAAACGCAUCAAGGAAAACGAGGCUCUACAACAAGAUAUGAUGCAAACCCAGUUACAAUCUUAGCAACAAAUACAAUAACGGCUCGAGUUUACAGCCAGCCAGUCAGCAGCUUCAACCAUAACGGAAGAACAGCUGUAGGAAAUUAAGCCUGGUAUUAAGGGCGGGCAAAAAUGGGCUACCGCUAAAAUGGGCGACCGUGUAUACCAUGUACAGUUUUGUCAAUAAUGUUGAUGAGUAACGUUGUCGAACGACUUUAAUUGUUAGGUUAAUACGGGAUGUGCGGUUGUGCUAAUGAUGUCUGCUUCUUAUUUUUCAAGGUGGAGUUAAUAGGCACAUUGCAUGUGUGUCUUAGGCAUAGGGGAAGGGAGGGGGAGGGUGAUAUAGAAUAAACGUUACAUGGAAAACUAAUAGAUAGAUGUUCAAGGAAUAGUGAUCCUGUUUCAAUAAAACAUGUAUUUGCAUGAUAAAAGAGUACGGUAGUUUCGUUUUUCUAAAGCUGAGAAGGACCUUGACGGUGGUCAAUUUCCUGAGCUAAAAGAUGAAUUUUUCAAUUUCUUGUAGCGACGUUGUUCUCCAACAUUCGAAGCAGAGAAUGUGUCACAAUCUAAAAACGCCGAACAUAUUCUUUAAAAUUUCCGUUUAUUCGAUAUUUUCUUUCAUAUGCCGUCAACAGGCAUUACGGAUUGUCUUGCUUGUCUGUUGCGCAGAAUCAUUUCAGACAAACCAAUGUGAACGUAAUCCCGUGUGUGUAAUGAAAUGUAAGCUAGAAGAAACUAAUUUAAAUGUAGCAGUGGGGCAAAAUAACUCUUUUGCAUCACUACUAAUUCUGGUGUCGUUGGUGCCAAGAAAGUUGAACUUAGGUUUGUUCUUAAGAAAACGACCAAUCAAAUCGCAUGAUAAAGAAGCACUUUACCCCUUACAAGCAUUGCACAGUCAUAAAACUAUAGCGUGUGUGUAUUUCGAUUCUUUGGACGUAACAGUAAAAACCGAUUCGUUCAUUUUCACUGCCACGUUCUCCGUAAAUUGUUCGAUGCUCUGGACGAUCUUAUCUGGUCUUCACUUUCUUUCACAUCCACACAUGUGGACCAAAACAUUUAAUGUAUUUUUAUUAUAAAAACGAAUCGCUAAUACAGAAUGUAUUAGGUUAGCUACAUUACUAGUCGACCUAUUUGCAUAAAAACCUGCCUUUUAGUGUAGGACUUAGACAGUUUGGAACUUUUGUUUAAAAAAGAAAACGCUUUGUAUAGUGUAAGACCGCUUUAAUGCAUCUAUCAAUCAUUCAUUAAAUGAAUGCUCCCAACAGUGUAUCAAUUCGUUUUGCAGCUUUUUUGAAACUGUAAUAAAUUUAAUUGUGUUCGGUGACUAAAACAGGGUUUGCUGGCUUCUGGCAAAAUUUCUGUUAGAUGUCAUAUGGUAGCGUUCGCACAACUGUAGCACUGGCCAAUCGAGUAGUAAACCAUGUUUUCUCGAAGUGAACGCUAUUGCAGGUCUACCAGUAGACUAUCACAAAAACUUAAUUCAGAGUAGUAGAAGUAGUCGGCAAAAAAUAUUGUUGAAGGUCAUUGUAAACUGCCGAGUGCUCUGCUUCAUCUUGAAGACGUCGCGGAGUGCCGAAUAGUUAAUGGAGGACCCAAGUUCCUCGAGGCGCCGGUGAAAAAUAGUUGGAACGAACAGAUAAGGUAAAAGGGAAAUGUACUGUAAAUAGUACAUGUGGACGGUGCUCCUUUAGACCAGAAGUUUCCAGGCUUCAGGUUUUGAAAGUGUAUUUUAUAAAUUUUCCUUCACGCAUUCGAUGAAAGCUACGGUUCGGAAAGGUACGGAUAAAUGCGCGAGAGCGGUGUAAUUUUGGGCAUGUGCUUAGAGCAGGAUUUUCUUUAAGUAUGCAGUAGUCUUGAUGUAUAGACCGCAGGCGAUAAAUGCUGAUUCUUUGUUAAGGUGAUGCGCGGCAUUUGGUCGAGUUUUUUCAGUCUCUGGGAAGAACGCGGACCGGGACUAGAUCUACUGGUAUGAGUACCUGAAGUGCAAGCAUAAGCUACGUGCUCGAAAAUUACUUUUUUUUCCUGUGAUUUGGUAAAUAAACAUCAUGAGGUACUUAUCGAUGCAUGCUUUGCCUUGUGUAGAACUGAUGUACUAUAUAAAGAUCUACAGAACCUAGUCAAGCUGAUUACCAUAACGAAUGAUUCCAUUUUAAUAGACAAUGACAACAUGGCCAGUUCACACACAUUGUGCAGUAUUGAUGCGUCGUUGACGGGAUCUGAAGCAGGGACGUCCCGACCUUCCAAGCUACUCGCUCAACAGAUAAACUAGUAAUUUUGUUAUUUGAAGGUAUAUUAUCUCCAGCACCAGAAUUUGUGCUCGCUAGGUACCUGCAUCGUCAUAUCUGAGACCAAGUUGUUUCUGUUUCUAUAAGCAGCAUUAGGCUAUAUUCACAAUGCAAUUCACGUUUGCUGAUGCCAUGCCGCCUACAAUGAGUUUCAUCUGUGAAUCGUCUAUCAUACAAUAGCUCAAUGUAAUGGUGGUUUCAAUCGUUUUCAGCGUUUGCUUCAGCCCAACGAGGAUACCUAACGCUUGAUAAUUUUUUUUAUUCCGGAGCUGACAGGAUGUUAUGUUGAUCCCUAUUUCCUACUAAGAUCUGGUCUACAUUAAGUCUUUCAGUUAACCGUGGACCAUUUCUUUUACUAAUAGCCGAAACUUUUGCGAAUUCCUCUAGCGCCGUAUAACAUUAUUAACACAAUUACCAAGCGAGAAGUUAUUGUACGGACAGUGAGUCCUUUUUAGGAAAGUUACUCUUAACUUAUUGCCAUUUCGCGUGCGGACUGAAUGAUAGUCAUUUUGAGCUAUAGUACUCCUGUAAUGAAAAAUAAAGGAUUGUCUAUACAGAUAGCUGGCUUUUUCGAUUGCAUAUCCAUACUACAUGACUUGAUUUCGUGAACUGCUGUCCGCACCUUUCAGCCUGCAUAAUUUUUGAAUGUAUUAAGUUACGUAAAUGUCAAUUGAUUCAGAUUUUUUUUUUCUGUAACAACACGCAUAAAAUCUUUUACAUUGGCCCUAGAAGCGUCUACAGGACUUCCACAUGUAACCUCUCUUUUAAGCACAAGUUGCGUUAGACAAAUGUUGAAUGCACUUGUGGCGCAACGUUUUUAAGGUAAGAAGCAGCACGGCUGUUGAUGAGGUCUUUCCCCGUAAAUGAUCUCCACUAUUUGCUGAUGCAUAAUAACCACGCAGUCUUACCUUAAUAACAGUUGGGAAAUGGUAAUGGAAAAAUUAUUCAAGCUUGUCCAUUGUUGUAUGAUGACAAUUGAGCUGAACAUUAAGCGUAAGUAAUGCGUGACCAUUUGAAUCAUUAAAUUAUACCGUUGUUUGUUCUCUAGCUUCAGCUGCGCAACAGGACCGAGUCUUUCCAUUGUUAAUGUUGAAAGUGCAACGCUAAAACAUGUCACUACGCGUUCCUGACACUCAAGAAUAGGACCGUUAAAGGAAUUCAAUGAGUUGCGACUGUCAAACAUGUGCUCCCUUGGAAAUAGUCCUUACCACCGAUUGUUUGUGGGCGCAUUGAUAUUGGUCGCACUGCAGACACCUGGACAUCAACAACAGGUUCGCAUCGAUAUCUGCGGCCUAAGUGUUAUCACAGAAUAACGACUCACGUAUCGCCUCGCCAAAAUAUUAACAGCGAUGUCGACGACCGGACUCACCGAUUUCCUGACGUGCGCGCUCGAGAGUGCGCCAGAGGGGACAAAGCAGAAAUGGGACAAAUUGAAAGCACUAUUCAAAGGUCGGGCUCCAGAAGAGGCAAUAGGAAAAGCCUGUCAAAGUGCGCCAACAACUGGUAUUGCCAUUAUCAACGGUUUUAUCAAUCAGCAGAGCAAAGUGGACAAGCCCAAAUUGAAGCAACUUCUGCUGGAGUGUUAUGAACAAAUUUCCUAAGCUUCAAAGGCAGAACGGGGACAGAAGAUAUUCGUACGUUUCUGAAGACCGCAGUUAACAGACCAAUGUUCAGAAUGAUUUUUAGGAAAACGAGCGCAGGAUAUGAAUAAAAGGACGCAGUUUGUUUACCUUUUUUUUUUUUUUUUUUUUUUUAAAUAAGUGCGUG